rnacentral:lncRNA from 1 species
CAAGGUGAUGAUGAUGAAGUAGAGGCUAGGGCAACAAAUGAAGAUAAUUAAAAUAAAGAUAAAUUAUAGGAACACUCUUUCAACUUUAAAAAUUGUCAAAUUAGUUCUUCAAGUUUUUAAAAUUUUUUAAUGUGGUACUACUAUUUAUUUACUAGCAAAUGGUGCUAGCUUUUUAUUUCAAUAGAUGAAAAUGCCCUUUGUUCAUAUUGAAUAGAUUAUCGACAAGAAAGGGAUAGAGGUGGAGGAAGUUGCCAUGGAUGGAGAGGGUGGGAUCAUGGAGGUCGGCGUGGAAGGAGAGGACGGCAUCAAGAGCCUCAUGGG